GAUGAACGCUGGCGGCGUGCCUAAUACAUGCAAGUCGAGCGAACGGACGAGAAGCUUGCUUCUCUGAUGUUAGCGGCGGACGGGUGAGUAACACGUGGAUAACCUACCUAUAAGACUGGGAUAACUUCGUGAAACCGGAGCUAAUACCGGAUAAUAUUUUGAACCGCAUGGUUCAAAAGUUAAAGACGGUCUUGCUGUCACUUAUAGAUGGAUCCGCGCUGCAUUAGCUAGUUGGUAAGGUAACGGCUUACCAAGGCAACGAUGCAUAGCCGACCUGAGAGGGUGAUCGGCCACACUGGAACUGAGACACGGUCCAGACUCCUACGGGAGGCAGCAGUAGGGAAUAUUCCGCAAUGGGCGAAAGCCUGACGGAGCAACGCCGCGUGAGUGAUGAAGGUCUUCGGAUCGUAAAACUCUGUUAUUAGGGAAGAACAUAUGUGUAAGUAACUGUGCACAUCUUGACGGUACCUAAUCAGAAAGCCACGGCUAACUACGUG
rnacentral:rRNA from 1 species